rnacentral:ncRNA from 1 species
AUGAACGCGAUGAUUAGAAGUAGUAGAAGAUUGGUCAUGAUGAGCAGAGAGCUGCGGGGUGGUGAAACGCAGUCACAUGGCACUUUGAACUCGUCUAGGAGUGGUGAAGCCGAAUAAAUUAGGCUCUAACGACUAACCUCCGUUACAAGGUUUAGCAUAUUAAAACUGUGCAAAAAAGCUGGACUUUGUAAGAAAAGAAGUCAAUAAGAGUGGUACCGCGGUUGGCCAAAAGCCCAUCGUCUCUUUU